rnacentral:rRNA from 1 species
GUGCCAGCAGCCGCGGUAACACGGAAGCCCCGAGCGUUGUUCGGAUUCAUUGGGCGUAAAGGGUGCGUAGGCGGCGCGGAAAGUCCGGCGUGAAAGGCAGGGGCUCAACCUCUGGACUGCGUUGGAUACUUCCGUGCUUGAGGACUGGAGGGGAGACUGGAAUUCACGGUGUAGCAGUGAAAUGCGUAGAUAUCGUGAGGAAGACCGGUGGCGAAGGCGAGUCUCUGGACAGAUCCUGACGCUGAGGCACGAAGGCUGGGGGAGCGAACAGGAUUAGAUACCCUGGUAGUCCCAGCAGUAAACGAUGUGAGCUUGAUGUGGGGGGAUUCGACCCCUUCCGUGUCGAAGCUAACGCGAUAAGCUCACCGCCUGAGGAGCACGGCCGCAAGGCUAAAACUCAAAGAAAUUGACGGGGACCCGCACAAGCGGUGGAGUAUGUGGCUUAAUUCGAUGCAACGCGAAGAACCUUACCUGGCCUUGACAUGCAUUGUGUCGUCGGUGAAAGCCGGCUAGUCCUGGAAACAGGACGCUUUGCACAGGUGCUGCAUGGCUGUCGUCAGCUCGUGUCGUGAGAUGUUGGGUUAAGUCCCGCAACGAGCGCAACCCUUGUGGUCAGUUACUAACCGGCUUAGCCGGAGGACUCUGGCCAGACUGCCCUGUCAAACGGGGAGGAAGGUGGGGACGACGUCAAGUCAGUAUGGCCCUUAUGGCCAGGGCUGCACACGUACUACAAUGCCCGGUACAAUGUGAACCGAAACCGCGAGGUGGAGGAAAUCGCUCUUAAAACCGGGCCCAGUUCGGAUUGGAGUCUGCAACUCGACUCCAUGAAGUCGGAAUCGCUAGUAAU